UACGUAGGGUGCAAGCGUUAAUUGGAAUUACUGGGCGUAAAGCGUGCGCAGGCGGUUUUGUAAGUCUGACGUGAAAGCCCCGGGCUUAACCUGGGAAUUGCGUUGGAGACUGCAAGGCUUGAAUCUGGCAGAGGGGGGUAGAAUUCCACGUGUAGCAGUGAAAUGCGUAGAGAUGUGGAGGAACACCGAUGGCGAAGGCAGCCCCCUGGGUCAAGAUUGACGCUCAUGCACGAAAGCGUGGGGAGCAAACAGG
rnacentral:rRNA from 1 species